rnacentral:rRNA from 1 species
GACGAACGCUGGCGGCGUGCCUAAUACAUGCAAGUUGAGCGCUGAAGGUUGGUACUUGUACCAACUGGAUGAGCAGCGAACGGGUGAGUAACGCGUGGGGAAUCUGCCUUUGAGCGGGGGACAACAUUUGGAAACGAAUGCUAAUACCGCAUAAAAACUUUAAACACAAGUUUUAAGUUUGAAAGAUGCAAUUGCAUCACUCAAAGAUGAUCCCGCGUUGUAUUAGCUAGUUGGUGAGGUAAAGGCUCACCAAGGCGAUGAUACAUAGCCGACCUGGGAGGGUGAUCGGCCACAUUGGGACUGAGACACGGCCCAAACUCCUACGGGAGGCAGCAGUAGGGAAUCUUCGGCAAUAGACGAAAGUCUGACCGAGCAACGCCGCGUGAGUGAAGAAGGUUUUCGGAUCGUAAAACUCUGUUGGUAGAGAAGAACGUUGGUGAGAGUGGAAAGCUCAUCAAGUGACGGUAACUACCCAGAAAGGGACGGCUAACUACGUG